rnacentral:rRNA from 1 species
CCCUUAGACGUUCUGGGCCGCACGCGCGCUACACUGACGAAGGCAACGAGCUUUCCUUUACCGAAAGGUACGGGUAAUCUUUUGAAACUUCGUCGUGCUUGGGAUAGAUCCUUGCAAUUUUUGAUCUUAAACGAGGAAUGCCUAGUAAGCGCAAGUCAUCAACUUGCGUUGAUUACGUCCCUGCCCUUUGUACACACCGCCCGUCGCUACUACCGAUUGAAUGGUUUAGUGAGGCCUUCGGAUCCGCGACUCGUUUGUGGAGAAGUUGGACAAACUCAGUCAUUUAGAGGAAGUAAAAGUCGUAACA